AAAAAUUUAGUUAAUUUAUAACAUCAAUUUGUCAAAUUGAAAUAAAUAUAUUAUUAUUAAUUUUUA
rnacentral:tRNA from 1 species